rnacentral:rRNA from 1 species
UACGGGGGGGGCAAGCGUUGUUCGGAAUUACUGGGCGUAAAGGGCUCGUAGGCGGCCAACUAAGUCAGACGUGAAAUCCCUCGGCUUAACCGGGGAACUGCGUCUGAUACUGGAUGGCUAGAGGUUGGGAGAGGGAUGCGGAAUUCCAGGUGUAGCGGUGAAAUGCGUAGAUAUCUGGAGGAACACCGGCGGCGAAGGCGGCAUCCUGGACCAAUUCUGACGCUGAGGAGCGAAAGCCAGGGGAGCAAACGGG